GAUGAAGAACGCAGCGAACUGCGAUAAGUAAUGUGAAUUGCAGAAUUCAGUGAAUCAUCGAGUCUUUGAACGCACAUUGCGCCCCCUGGCAUUCCGGGGGGCAUGCCUGUCCGAGCGUCAUUGCUGCCCUUCAAGCCCGGCUUGUGUGUUGGGUCGUCGUCCCCACCGGGGGACGGGCCCGAAAGGCAGCGGCGGCACCGCGUCCGGUCCUCGAGCGUAUGGGGCUUUGUCACCCGCUCGAUUAGGGCCGGCCGGGCGCCAGCCGGCGUCUCCAACCUUCUAUUUUACCAGGUUGACCUCGGAUCAGGUAGGGAUACCCGCUGAACUUAAGCAUAUCAAUAAGCGGAGGA
rnacentral:misc_RNA from 1 species